rnacentral:rRNA from 1 species
UAGCAUAUCAAUAAGCGGAGGAAAAGAAACCAACAGGGAUUGCCCUAGUAACGGCGAGUGAAGCGGCAACAGCUCAAAUUUGAAAUCUGGCUCUUUUAGAGUCCGAGUUGUAAUUUGCAGAGGGCGCUUUGGCUUUGGCAGCGGUCCAAGUUCCUUGGAACAGGACGUCACAGAGGGUGAGAAUCCCGUACGUGGUCGCUGGCUAUUGCCGUGUAAAGCCCCUUCGACGAGUCGAGUUGUUUGGGAAUGCAGCUCUAAAUGGGAGGUACAUUUCUUCUAAAGCUAAAUAUUGGCCAGAGACCGAUAGCGCACAAGUAGAGUGAUCGAAAGAUGAAAAGCACUUUGGAAAGAGAGUCAAACAGCACGUGAAAUUGUUAAAAGGGAAGCGCUUGCAGCCAGACUUGCUUACAGUUGCUCAUCCGGGCUUUUGCCCGGUGCACUCUUCUGUAGGCAGGCCAGCAUCAGUUUGGGCGGUAGGAUAAAGGUCUCUGUCACGUACCUCCUUUCGGGGAGGCCUUAUAGGGGAGACGACAUACUACCAGCCUGGACUGAGGUCCGCGCAUCUGCUAGGAUGCUGGCGUAAUGGCUGUAAGCGGCCCGUCUUGAAACACGGACCAAGGAGUCUAACAUCUAUGCGAGUGUUUGGGUGUCAAGCCCGAGCGCGUAAUGAAAGUGAACGGAGGUGGGAACCCGCAAGGGUGCACCAUCGACCGAUCCUGAUGUCUUCGGAAGGAUUUGAGUAAGAGCAUGGCUGUUGGGACCCGAAAGAUGGUGAACUAUGCUUGAAUAGGGUGAAGCCAGAGGAAACUCUGGUGGAGGCUCGCAGCGGUUCUGACGUGCAAAUCGAUCGUCAAAUUUGGGCAUAGGGGCGAAAGACUAAUCGAACUAUCUAGUAGCUGGUUCUGC